rnacentral:rRNA from 1 species
AUGGCAGCUCUCAGCCACCUGCUUGACAACAAGGCCCAGGGUGUUGGGUUCGUUGCCAUGGCAGACGCUCACAUGGGCAAGUGGUAUGCUGUGUUCAUCGGUAAGGCUCCAGGGGUUUACAGUUCAUGGGAAGAAGCCAGUGCACAAGUGGCAUCGUAUAGCAACAGCAGUCAUAGAGGGUUCAAGACUAGGCAGGCAGCAGAACAAGCUUACUCUGACUGGGUGCGAAAGCACGGAGGCAGCAAUGUUGACGAUGGCAAGGUUGGAGGUGUCAAAGUGGAAGGCGCUAAGGUGGAUCGUCAGUUUGGCUGA